rnacentral:rRNA from 1 species
AUGGGGGGAACCCUGACCGAGCAACGCCGCGUGAGUGAAGAAGGUUUUCGGAUCGUAAAGCUCUGUUGUUAAGGAAGAACGAGUGUGAGAAUGGAAAGUUCAUACUGUGACGGUACUUAACCAGAAAGGGACGGCUAACUACGUGCCAGCAGCCGCGGUAAUACGUAGGUCCCGAGCGUUGUCCGGAUUUAUUGGGCGUAAAGCGAGCGCAGGCGGUUAGAUAAGUCUGAAGUUAAAGGCAGUGGCUCAACCAUUGUAGGCUUUGGAAACUGUUUAACUUGAGUGCAGAAGGGGAGAGUGGAAUUCCAUGUGUAGCGGUGAAAUGCGUAGAUAUAUGGAGGAACACCGGUGGCGAAAGCGGCUCUCUGGUCUGUAACUGACGCUGAGGCUCGAAAGCGUGGGGAGCGAACAGGAUUAGAUACCCUGGUAGUCCACGCCGUAAACGAUGAGUGCUAGGUGUUAGGUCCUUUCCGGGACUUAGUGCCGCAGCUAACGCAUUAAGCACUCCGCCUGGGGAGUACGACCGCAAGGUGAAACUCAAAGGAAUUGACGGC